rnacentral:lncRNA from 1 species
AAGUGUGGCUUUAUAUGAUAGCAAAGCACAAAUAUUCCUAAGUAUUACUGUAGUGUUCACAGUAGUCAAAAUAAAGAAUUAGCCCAGAUGUCUGUCAACACAUGAAUUCCUUAAAAAAAAAAACCUUAGUAUAAAUACCCAGUGGAGCUUUUUGCAGAUAUAUAAAGAAAGGAUUGUGUCAUUUUCAGGAAAUAAAUGAACUAGAGGUUAUUGAGAUAAGAGAGACUCAGAAAAAAAAAACCACUAAAUUAAUUGAAUAUAAUGUUCCAGAAACAUUCACAUAUGUAAGACAGUUGUAAUAAAGAUGUCAUCACUGAGAGUAGAAAUAGUAUUUUCUGUGAGUCCCUGUGAGUCUAUAUGAGCUGUUUGUAAAAAUAACAAUAAUAAACAAACAUUGAAUCACCCCUCACGACUGCAUUUAAAGUUGAUUAGAAGUUAGAAGUGAAGGUUUUGAAGGUUUUGUGUAGGAUAUUGAACUUUAUAAAUGAAGUUGCACGGGGACCUGGGUGUGGCUCAGUGGUAGAACACUUGUCCAUAUGCAUAGGGCCUUGAGUGCAGUCACGCACACACAGAGAGACAUGUGCAAACACAGCAUAAUAGCUACUUCAAUUUUCAAAAUCAAUAUAUAGGUAAAACAAUCACAGCUAAUUAUCAGAAAAGUUAUGACCUAAGCAUUUAAAAAUAUUAACCUUUGAGCAUGAUGGAAUCCCUCCACAGACACGCAAUCCAGUUUUGAUGAAUCAGGGCUCAAAGGAUUUUGUGUGCUCCACAGAAACAGUCUGAGAUCCAAAAAGUGGCUUAAAAGAGGGAAAAGUUAAUCAAAAUGUCUGUGAAGCUCUGGCUUCAGUCUCUCCAGCGAGGCUUUCUGAAGCACAGCUCUGAUAGAACUAAACCCAAUGAGACACCGCCUACAAGAGGAAUCCAGCGUGUGAACGAAGACUAAAAAGCAAAACAGCAGCGUCUGGAGUGGACAGCUUCUCUCACUCAGAGAACUGUAGCCUCAAAUUCCUGGCAGAGGUGAGACUAGAACUCAGUCUCAUGGUAUUGCCUACAGUUAACAACAUUAGUUGAAUUGUGUGUGUCUUAAUUUCACUUAUGUAAAUGGAAUGAACAGGUAGACAUGGUAGUGCGGGUCUGUCAUUCCGGCACCAGGGAGGCUGAGGCAGGAUAACAAUGUGUUAACAUUCCACCUGAUUUAUACAGUUAGUGUCAGACUAAUCUGAGCCAUAGGCUGAAAACUUGUCUCAAGUCAAUCAACGAAGAGAAGCAUAAAAAUAUCCCAACCAUCCUGAGAUUUUCAGUUUUAUAAGUAAAACAAGUCUAAGUCCAACAUGAGACUGCUAUUCAAACAAACAAACAAACAACAAACGCUGAAGAUGGGCCCAGGAGGGUCCUGCCAUUACUAGCAAAGGGCCGCCAUUACUAGGUCAAGGCCUAGACUCCGAUGUGAUUGGGUUGAGCAGGCAGCAUAGGCCUCAGUUUGCGGAAAAUGAAAAUGCAAGGUGCCUUUCUCAAAGUGAUUUUGAAUUUUAGCGGCUAGAGAGAGCAGAGUAUCAAACCACGAUGAAGGGCUUCUAGUUAUCACACACACACACACACACACACACACACAGAGAGAGAGAGAGAGAGAGAGAGAGAGAGAGAGAGAGGGAGAGAGAGAGAGAGACUCUGCCUUCACACUUGCUGACAACAAAAAUCACAUCGUCCUCCACACUCCCUGUGAGCACAGGAAGGACUACGUGAGGUCUCUGGAGUGUGAUAAGCUUCCCAUAGGAGACUAACCAGGAGAGAGCAUCUAUAUACCGAAUCUUAACUGUGCCUUUGCUUCUCAAAAUGAUAGCCUGCUGAUGCAAGGCUGUGAUUUCCUGAAUAUAUUCCCAUUUCUGUUGCCAGCCUUGUAUUCCCUAGGUUGUCCAAAAAAAAAAAAAAAGUUGUGGAUGUGAUGAUUCUUUUUUUUCUUUUUAUUAUGCUUCAGUGAGCUUUCAAACUUAGCUGGUCAGAAAUAAUGAAUUUAUGCGCGUACACACACACACACACACACACACACACACACACACACACACCUAGCCUACCUUAAUUUUAUCAGUUAAUAAAGAGAGCCAAACUAUUCAGAAUAUUUAAUACAAAGAACAAAAGAGUGGCACCGCCUGAAGAAUGUCAGCAGUGUUUUCAGCUCCGCCGCCCGCUCCGCCCUGUCUUGUUUUGCACUUUAUCUUCCUGGAGCCUUUCCAGGAGACAAAUCUUUCCAUCAGAAUCUUUGUGGGUUGAAGCCCGUGUCCUGUCAGGUUGUGUAUCAAAAUUUCUGGUGAAUUUUUCCUCCUCAAUAUUUCAGACCUAUAAAAAAGAUUUGCAAAGGCAGAACUCUAGAUAUUAUAAUCACUCCAAGCACAGAAAAAAAAAAGUGGUAAAAGUUUUUCUUUUUCCCACUGCUAAAUACAGAAUGUUCCUCUGUUAGGUACCCUUAACACUGACAAAGCAUAUAUUUUUGUUUUAUCUGAAUGAAACAAAAUGUAGACUUAAACAUUACAUUUCAGAGUACACUCUGCUAUUUCUUACUAUUCGAGGAACAUAUUUCACAAAAGCAAUAUCUACUCUUAUUUAGGUUUCUUGGAAGAGAAGAAUGAGAUUGGAUCUGAGAAAAUGUGGCUGGUAAUGAACUCUACGAAGGGAUUUUUAUACUCUCUCUUUGGCAGUCCAUCCUGUGAAAUAAUAAUGAGGUUGGAGGAUGGCUGCUAACCAUCCCUUGCUUUUCCGUGCCAGGGAACCACCAUCUCAGAUGGUAGAAACCACUCAGAAGGAUCAACUGCUGCAGACGGGAAGAGGAGCAACCUCGUGAAUAAUUUCGUGACAGGAUAUUGCAGGAGGGACUUUGUCCAAAUGUGUGCAGGUUGGCUACAGCAACAAGGAUGACGAACACAGAUGAAUUGAUCAGGAUGUAACCAUUCAAAGUUGAGAGGAUUAGAGGACUUCUCCGAGGCGGCUCCAAUGGAUGCCAGCAGAGUUAAAGUGUCCAAUGGAGAGAAGAGAAGGCUUGGGAAAUCCAGAGUCCAUUCAUUCAUCGCCCUCCUCCUAGAACAACAAAAGCGAGCCCCAGUACUCAUCAGCAUGGACUCUGUGUGUAGUCAUCUCCCUUAGUUUCAGAGGUUCCUGCCUACAGCAAAACUUUAGAGGCUUAGAGUUUAACGGUCAUAGCUUAUUCACCUCCAACUGUGUCCUAGUUCAAGAGAAACACUUCACAUAUCUGUAGGGAGAAGAUAAUGAACCAAGGAUACAAGUUAAGCCUUAGCUAAGACCUGUUACUCAGGAAAAAGAGCUAAAACAAGCUGCUUAGAUCAGCACCAAUGUUAGGUAGAGAGAAAAAGAAACGCUGCAUAGAAAUCUUAAGGUUCACAUGUGCUCCAGGCUGGGUCAACAACUUCUAAUUUCCUUUGCCAACCAACCAUGUCUUUGACAGAAAUGAUCCUUCUACAUAGACCACAGAGGGAUCCAAUGGAGGUUUCUCUUCCUGAAUUUGGGGAUUCAGAAUCUGGACAAAUUCCUUUCCAUCAAAGUCCAGUACAAAAGUAGUACCAUGGCAGUCCCUGCAGGGACUUGCAUCACUUUCCCUAGAGAUAUCAAGAGAAUUUUUAGUGAUAAGAAUAUGGCACAAAAUGAGAAAUCCCAUUACUCUUAAGAGAAUCUCUUCCUUCUCAAAGGCACCUGAUUAAUACAUAUAGUACUAUCAGUAAGGCUGAGCAAAAGGAUACUGAUGUUCUGAGUGAUCUUAAAUCAUGUAAUAAUAACUUUAUUCGUAGUAUAGAACGGAAUAUUCCCUAUUAGUAAUCAGUUCCUUUGCCAGAUCCUCAUAGUAUCUUAGUCACUGUUUUAUUGUUAUGAAGAGAAACUUUGACCACAGCACCUCUUAGAAAAAAGGAAGCAUUUAAUCGGGACUUCCUUAUGGUUUCACAGUUUUACAUAAUUGUCAACAUGGCAGAGAACAUGGGGGCACGCAAACAGACAUGGUGCUGGAGAAGUAGCGGAGAAUAUACAGCAACAUAUAGAUACAAAAUAUAGAUACAUAUAGAUACAGAAUAUAGAUACAUAUAGCUACAUAUAGAUCUGCAGGCAGCAGGAAGAGACUGGGACAAGGCCAUACCUUCUAAGGCUUCUCAAGGAGUGUCACUUCCUGAUGACCAAGCAUUCAAGUGUAUGAGCUUAUGGGAGCCAUUCUUAUUCAAGCCACCACACAUAGCAAAGCUGAUAAUGUCAUUUUCUGAAUUAACCAGGCCAAGGCACACUUCUUAGCAACAUGGUUACCUGGUAACCAGAGAUUUUUCUCAUCCCAUGAGAGAUUUCAUUCAAGAACUGAUCUUCUAACAGUUUUGUCUCUCUUAAGAAUGCUACAGACAGGGUGGGGUGAGGCACAGUGCUGAAGCCCCUCAAGUUUCCCAGAGGGAUGAGUCCAUGAAAGACGAAAAUCAUGUGGUCACACUGAGCAUAGACUUCACAAGCAUCAUGCUAGGAUUCCAUUUUCUUUCUCAACACAAUGAUAAAUUCUUCUUCCAAUAAGCAGAAAAUCAUCCAAUGGGAAAAAAAAAUAAAACCAACUAACUUGCAGUCCUUUGGAACAGUUUCAUAGCUUACAGGAUGGCUUCAUAACCCUGGGGACACUCGUUUUGACAUGAAAACUUCCUUCAGAACAGGAAUUCUGAUCCAACAUGUGCUCAGACAUCAUUUCAGUCACUUGCAAAUGAACAAGAAAGCUCAUGUAAAUGAGGAGGCUCAACUCCCAGGCCUGGUGAGUGGGUAAGACAUUCCUCUGCUGGGUUUUGAAGGCUGUCUGAAACCAUCGGCUGACAUCCUUCUCUGUGUGCAUGUAUGCACUAUCUACGGGAAAUUCAGCUCCAACCGGUUGUCUCUACAGCUCCCUUAAUCUUCUCCUCCCUCCUCCUGGCAUUGGCAUGUGUCCCAGGACUGCAGCGAGGAGUGCUUACCAACAAAGGUGCUGGCAUCUGCAUUUGUUUCACAGCCACAAACCUAAUGGUUCCAUGAUUUUGGCGAGCAAAACUGUCAAAAUGCCUGAGCACAAGAGAUCACAAGAUGAGCCAAGGCAUAGUGUGCAUGCCUUCCUUCCCAGCACUCGGAAGGCAGAGGCAAGGGGAUCUCUGUGGGUUCAAGGCCAGCCUGAAUCACAAGGUGUACUGGGGAUUCUUUUUUAUUGUUUUCCUUUUGCUAUCUGGAAUAGUUUGAGAUUGUAUUUGAUCAGUGCAUUAAACAAC